rnacentral:rRNA from 1 species
GAUGAACGCUGGCGGCGUGCCUAAUACAUGCAAGUCGAGCGAAUGGAUUAAGAGCUUGCUCUUAUGAAGUUAGCGGCGGACGGGUGAGUAACACGUGGGUAACCUGCCCAUAAGACUGGGAUAACUCCGGGAAACCGGGGCUAAUACCGGAUAAUAUUUUGAACUGCAUGGUUCAAAAUUGAAAGGCGGCUUCGGCUGUCACUUAUGGAUGGACCCGCGUCGCAUUAGCUAGUUGGUGAGGUAACGGCUCACCAAGGCAACGAUGCGUAGCCGACCUGAGAGGGUGAUCGGCUACACUGGGACUGAGACACGGCCCAGACUCCUACGGGAGGCAGCAGUAGGGAAUCUUCCGCAAUGGACGAAAGUCUGACGGAGCAACGCCGCGUGAGUGAUGAAGGCUUUCGGGUCGUAAAACUCUGUUGUUAGGGAAGAACAAGUGCUAGUUGAAUAAGCUGGCACCUUGACGGUACCUAACCAGAAAGCCACGGCUAACUACGUGCAGCCGCCGCCGUAA